AUUUCUCCAAGUGGUUGCAGAUGACAUGAUUUCCCAAAGUGUUAGAGCUGAAGUGUGUUUCCUUGUGUAUAUAUACUGUGGUUCCUUUAUCCCUUCAUCUGUGGAUAGACAGGUGCAACCGUGUGGUUCCCCACGAUAUGAUUUCAUUGUGGUUUUCUGUCUGAAGAGUAUCCCAGUAUGUACCUGUGGAGCAGCUUCUUUAUCCCUUCAUCUGUGGAUAAGCAGUGCAGGCCAAGGCCCCCUGCCCAUGGAGGUGUGCUGCAGACAGCAGCAGCAGCAGCAGCAGCAGCAGCAGCAGCAGCAGAGGCCUGGCUUCCUGAGGAAUUGCUGGCCGGUUUGAGGAAGGAAGGAAGUCCCACCUACCAUGAUCACCCUCCAGCCUGGAGGAAGCUCCAUGCCAGCAGCAUGGACCAGCAUGGGAGCCAGAGCCCUGCUAAUGCUGCAGCUCAUCACCCCUGCUCAGCAGCCCAGCAGCCCAGCAGCCAUUGCCACAUCCCAUUUCCAGGGCCUCCUGCCCCCAUGCCCCCACGUGCCCAUGGACCGACACACCACUCUUCCUGUUGGCCCAAGGUAGGCAUGGAGGGAAUUUUUCAAGUCCACUUUUAGUAGGUAAGUCAAAACCAAACAAAAUAACCACUCGACACCUGGUCCAAUGCCCUUCCAAACUCACUCUUUUCUCUGACCCUUAAACACUUGUCCUGCAUCUCCCAGACUCCACUGUACCUUGAUCAGUAGGUCCCUCUUCACUGCAGUGUCUUUUUUGCAGAGUUCUUUUAGCUCUUUCAUGCUUUUGCUAUGGGCAGAGGAAAGAAAGAAGGGUAAAUUUGGGAAUCAGGGGAGAUUUGUGAGUUCCAGUCCCUUUUGUUUGAAAACCCAGUGAAUCCCAGCUUACUGGGUGAGAGUUUUCAGUGGAGUCCUCUGAUCACAGGGGCUCCAGAGGACCAGGGUGGGACCUCUCAUGCUCCUCCCCUGGGCCCCAUCUCCACUUCACAUGAGCCACUGCGUGUUUACAGUUAGCUUUCAGCUGGACACAGAGUUCCACUGCUGGGUACAAACACCUGAAAGCCUCCAGUUGGCUCCAGUCUGUUCCUGAUGGUUAAAAAACCUUAGUCCUGAGUUGGAAAUCCUUGCCUAGGAGUCCAGGGCAGCUUAGUGACCACAGCCACCGGCCCAUCCCUGCCUCCAGUGUCCCUGGACUCCAAGAACCUUUCAGAGUCAUUGAGGGCACAUGGGGGGAGACCUGUGAGUCCCUAGGUCAACCCUGAUGCUGCCAUGGAGAGAGCCCUCCUCACCUGGACACUCCUGCCCACGUCUUGUGUAGCUGACCUAUUGGGUUGCUGCACAGAGCAGAGACGAUGACGUGCACCGAGGAGAAGUUGUUGAGGCUUAGGCACUCCUGGAGAGGGAAGAAUGAGCUGUGCGGUUCAGAGUUGGAGCUUGGCCCACUACAGCCUCAGCCCCCUCUGCUGAGAUCUCCCCUCCUGGAUGAAGCAGAGGCCUGGGGAGCCUCAGGAGGGCAGACCUGGGGCCGAGUGGAUGUCACUCAUCUAGGAGGAUUUUAGUUCAACCCAAGGAAGACCCCAGGUCGGAAGUGAGCAGCCACCACUGGGCCGUGGGAGUCAAGUCUGGAGAAACAGCUACGGCCAUCCCAGCCCUGGCCAAGGGGAAAAUGCCGGAAGACUCCAGGGUGGGAGGAAGCGCGUCCCAAGGCCCAGGAUCUGCGAGGCGACUUGGGGAAAACGCAGGCAGGACCUGCUGAAGCUCACACCCGUGGACCACCCAGACUGCCUGCCGCUACAGGAUGCCCUCCGCAUCUCCCAGGACUUCUUUCCGGCAUCAGUGUGGACAUUGACCCCACUGGACUGCAGUCACAGUGGACUCCCAAGGGGCAGGAUCCACCUCUGAUGUUCAGUGAAGACUACCAGAAAAGUCUGCUAGAGCAGUACCAUCUGGGUCUGGAUCAAAAACUCAGAAAAUACGUGGUUGGAGAGCUCAUCUGGAAUUUUGCCGAUUUCAUGACUAACCAGUGUCAGCCCAAGACUACCCCGUCGGUCAUUCUGUUCCUGCCGUCCUGUGAGGAGCCCCAAGCCAACAAGGCCACACUGGUGUGUCUCAUGAAUAACUUUAUCCGGGAAUCUUGAUGGUGACCUGGAAGGCAGAUGGUACCCUCAUCACCCAGAGCGUGGAGAAGACCACGCCCUCCAAACAGAGCAACAACAAGUACGUGGCCAGCAGCUACCUGAGCCUGACGCCCGAGCAGUGGAGGUCCCGCAGAAGCUACAGCUGCCAGGUUAUGCAAGAAGGGAGCACCGUGGAGAAGUCAGUGGCCCCUGCAGAAUGUUCAUAGGUUCCAGCCCCCACCCCACCCACAGGGGCCUGGAGCUGCAGGAUCCCAGGGGAGGGGUCUCUCUCUGCAUCCCAAGCCAUUCAGCCCUUCUCGCUGUACCCAGUAAACCCUCAAUAAAUAUCUUUGUCAGC
rnacentral:lncRNA from 1 species